ensembl:lncRNA
UUUCUUUUGUCUUUGUUUUGGCAUACUGAUUUUUUUUUUUUUGAGGAAGAUUAGCCCUGAGCUAACAUCUGCCACCAAUCCUCCUCUUUUUGCUGAGGAAGACUGGCCCCGAGCUAACAUCCGUGCCCAUCUUCCACUAGUUUUUAUAUGUGGGACACCUGCCAUAGCAUGGCUUGCCAAGCUGUACCAUGUCCACACCUGGGAUCUGAACUGGCGAACCCUGGGUUGCCAAAGCAGAAUGUGUGAACUUAACCACUGUGCCACCGGGCCAGCCCCACAGCAUACUGAUUUUUUAUCUCUGAUAAUUUUAUGAUCUGAAGUUCUUCCACCGUGUGUUGAGUAGGUUGAUUUUUCAGUCUAAUUUUCCUGUUUAUUUGUAAAUUUUGAACUGUGAACUCACCUUAAGUGCGACUUAUCGGUGGGAAUCUUGUACAACCUCCAGAGCAAUUUUUAAUCUUCUACUGCCAAGGAUAUCUGCAGCUUGGCAGGACUUUUUUUUGGUUAUCUUUUUGGCUCAGACAUCUCCAGCCAAUGGAAUAGGCUCAUGAUCAUACAUUUUUUGGAGAGAGAAUUAAUUUUUCCACUCCAAGCCUAGGCCAAGAUAAACUGUCUUCUUUUUUUGGAUGGCAUUUUUUUUUUUUCUUAGUACACCUUUUGCAGAGAGGUAAAACUUCUGGAAGCUCUCUUGAUUUGGGAGCCUCAGUUCUAUCUCCCUUUCCUCAAAAAAGCUUCAGGCUUUAUCCAUGACUCACAUGGUGAUUAAGAACCCAACCUGUUGGUUGCAAAGACGUGCAAAACCCUGUAGAGUUGUCUAGCAUUAUUCGCUAAUUUGUACCUUUCUAGUUUAAGUUUCUCAGUCGUUUUUGGCCACUGUAGAUUUCUCUUGCCUUAUUACCUUUAGUUUUAUAGCAGGAACAUUUUCAGGUUUCCCAACUCUCAAACUGCCAGCAACGAAAGUCUGUUUGCUUAACUCUUAAAGCUUAGGCUAUUCAGAUAGGAGUCCUGGGUUAGAAAGAAAAGGAUUCAAAUAGUAAUAGAGCCAAACAAUCAUAGAGAAUAAUAUAAAGGUGUUUACCGUAGAAAUUGGUUUUGUGCUUUUUGCCUUCAGUAAGCUGUAUUUACAGGAAAACAACUUGCUCUUGACUGAAAAUGUUUCUAUUCUUUCAACAGGAUGGUACUAAGUGUCUAGUAUCUGCAUGAAAGCAUGGGAUGCACUUCAGAUUUCAGCGUAUUGACUCCUGACCUAUUUCUCUCUUGGUCAAAAGAGAAACAAACCCAUGUUUAAAUUGGGAAAAUGACAAUCAAUGCUGUGCAGAUCUUUCAUGUAAAAAAUGUGUCCUUAAAACAAAACAAGGAGAUUAAAUGGUGCUGGAAUUUUGACAAUGUUGUCAUGAACUGCUGCCCAUUAAAAGCAAUUAACUGGGGUUGGCCCUGUGGCAUAAGGGUUAAGUUUGCACAUUUUGCUUUGGUGACUCAGAGUUCGCUGGUUGGGAUCCUGGGUGUGGACCUAUGCAGCAGCUGUCAAGCCAUGCUGUGGUGGUGUCUCACGUGUAAAGUAGAGGAAGAUGGGCACGGAUGUUAGCCCAGGGCUAAUCUUCCUCAAAAAAAAAAAAGAAAAAGAAAAAAGAAAAAAGAAGCAAUUAACCCAUUGUUCUUUAUUAACUGGCCAUGCAGUUUAUGCAACUCAAAGGGCUCACAGUCUGAAUCUGCUCUGAUCUUGUUUUACAAGUAAUUAUGACCCAAGUAUCUACAAUUAUACAUAUGUGUCUGUCCAUUUUGCUCCCUUAGAAAUAGUAUCAUCCUAUUUGUACUUAUCUAGAAAAGAAACUUUUCCAGUUCAGCGAACUUGGUUUACUUGGCAAGAGAAUGCAUAAGGACACCCGUUUACAUCUGUUGAUUUGGCAGAGAGUUAAAGAACAUGGUGGGUAAUGCCCUUCAUCCAGGCUCAUCUCUCCUGAAAGGUCACUGCAAUGGAUUUUGAAGCCAGGUGUUCUUUUGAGAAAAAAAAAAAUCAGAACUUAAAAAAUAAUUCAAAUAUUAUGGCCAUACUAGAAAGUUUCUAUACCCUUAAAGGGCUGAGGGAACUCUAGGUAUAAGCACCAAGUAACAAAAACUAUUCCUUGAGCCAAAAGAGACCCCAGGAAGUCUGUUUAAAGGUCACUAUGACCUUGAAGCAAGCUGGAGCACAUCUCUCUUCCCAUGGCCCCAAAAUAUUGUGAGGUAACUCAGAAACCACAAAGGACACCCUCGAGUAUGAAGACAGAGGGCAAACAUCCAUUCGUGCAUUGCUGUGGCAUCUCUGACCUUUCUCUCACCAGUGCCUGAGAUGUCCACGGGAUUCCAACAGCUGAGGGUGAUGGAAAAAAGUCUGUAGAAAUAUUUUGCUUCUCCUGUGGUUGAGUUGACUAACAGGGCUGAGAAGAUGCCGUGUUUCUUAGAAUUGAAUUUGUGAGUUUUUUGACUCCAUAAGUCAUCAAUGAAGGAAUGACUCAUUUAAAAACACUUAAAGAGAGUCUACUAAGUGCUUGGGUUGAAGUGACAGAGGCAAUUAAAAAUUGAUUCCUGCCCUAAAGGAACUCACAGGGAGGUGCAGGAGGCAGAGAGGUCAAUAAGUCAGUUCAAUAUGAUAUGAUAAGAGUUAGGGAUAUGAUAAGAGUAAUGUGGGUGGAGGAGGGGUCCAGGUCCAAUCGUGGGAGUGUGGGGGAGAAGGUCAGGAAGGGAUUCCCAGAGGAGGUGACCUCUGACUUGAGUAAAAACAGAAUUGUGGCAUUAGUUAAUGCUAAGGCAGUAAUCAUAUUGCAACAUAUAAGUGCAUCAAACCAACACCUUGUACAGCUUAAACUUGCACAACGUUAUAUGUCACUUAUAUCUCAAUUGAAACAAAAGGGAAUUGCAUGUGUGUUUGCCAAGUGAACUCUUCUCAACCAUAAGAGAAAAGCAAAACUUAGGUAUCCUUUGGUUAGGAACAAGGCAGGUAUGGCUAUUUCUUGAAAGGAACUGUCUCAUUUGAUUAUUCUUGUUUUGCUUUAUUUUGUUGCCUUGGUAACGUAGCCUUUACUAUUAUGUGCGGUGUUACUUUCAGAAGCAAAAGCGUUUCACCCUCUGAAUAGCUUAGACGUUCCAUGUCAUAACGCACAUCGGGGGAGUGCCUGCUCUAUCACCUACUACUGGACCAGGCUACCUGCCUGGAGGAGAUGCCACGAAAGGGUGACAAUGGACAUUUCCAUUACAGUCUGGGUCUUCUCAGGCAUGAUGUCAACUGGAAGAGAGAGAGUGGCUGCAGCCUGAAUCCUAGCCUGAGGGUCAGGAUAAAACUAAAUGCACUUUAUAACUGCAGUGAGUAGAGCAACGCUCUGACCAGUUGCUUUGGACUCUGCACUGGGGAGUAGACAAAUGCAAACAAUGGACCGAAAUGAAGGGGAGCUUUAGGACGGAGGCAUGGAUGAGAGAGGACUCUGAGAAGUUCUGAGGACAGGGGCUUCUUCAUCUCUGUUCCACUGAAUUGACAAUUUCUCACAAGAAGUUUUGAAAAUUCCUCAUUUUAUCGUUGAAAGGAAACAAUUUAAUUCAACACAAUUACAUUGUUAACUCUUGUACAGCUACUAUAAUGAAUUCUGGGUUUAUAUUGAUGAAAAAGACUUAUUUCUGCCUCAGGUUGCUCACAGAGUAGACAGACUCUUAAACAGGUAACCAAAAUGCAGUGAUAGAAUGGAUUUGGCUAAUUCGUGCAAAGAUUCUAUCCCCGUGAUCUCAUUACCCCUGAUUCCCCGGCCAGGUGUGAUAGAUACAGUGCAGGGGAGAUGGUCAGGCUCUGAUUUUCUAUCCUAGAUCUACCCAGAGCUGUUCAUCAUUCCGUAAUUUUCUUUGCAUUUCACACCUCCAGAUCCCAGUCAUAGUUAAUAGCGUGUCACUUUACCUCGCCACUUCUGUGGAAUUUCCUGGCUGCAUGCAAACUCAGCUCUCUAAGAGAAUUAGGCUGUCUCUAGACCACAUCUGUCCCUGAACCCCUGCCUCUGCUUGGGUCUCCUUGUCCCAACGUUAACCUUGGCCCCUAUUUAUCCUCAAUCCUUCAUCUCGUCCUCUUCCCCCCUUCAAAAACCUUUUGCUCAGUUCCUGCCAUUCUUGAACCCUUGUGGAUUUCAGCAAGACAGAGCUAAAAUGAAAAAUGGAACAAACACUCAAAGGAGUUGCAUCCUGGAUCAUUGAACCUCAUUGGUGCACCUGCAAAAAUAGAGCCAGGAUCUUGAAAGAACGGAAGGUGGCAGUAGAGGAACGAGCAUACUUUCUGGUCCCGGUGCUGAAGAAAAGCCAAAUCCAGGAUUCCAGCUUCACUCAAUUUUCUCUCACAGAUGUAUUACUUCUCUUCGUGUUGCCAUUUCUCUUCUUUUUAUCCCUUUCUAAUUCAGUCUUUCAUCUCUCCUCUCUGAUUCUUUCUCCAUGUUCCCCCAAUUGCUUUGGAAGGCUUUGUGCUAGCUGAGAUAUCAUUUCUAGUUGACUUUUUCCAAGAAAUAUUAAAUCUGCCAUCCUUUGCCUUUUCAUCCAUUUAAGCCUUACUUAAAUGAAUGGGUUCUAGGAACUAAUACAACAACUUACAUUCUCUACCAUCUUUAAUACAAAACUUACCGAAAUAAUACUGGGUGGGUAAAAUUAGCAAACGUGUGAUUUUAGGCAAUUGCCUGUAGAAUUUUUAGCGAGUUGCUAAACUACUUAAGUAACUUCCUCAGGAGAAUCUAUAUCAGGGAUCAGCUAACCAUCACCUGAGGGUCAAAUCUGGUCUGCAACCUGUUUUUGUAAAUAAAGUUUUAUUGGAGCAUUGCCACGCUCAUUUGUUUACCUAUAGCCUAUGAGUGCUUUUGCACGACAAUGGCAGAGUUAAGUAGUCAUGACAGAGACUGCAUGGCCUGCAAAGCCUAAAAUAUUUCCUUUCUGGCUCUUUACAGGGUUUGCUGACCGCUGCUCUAGGUGUCUGUAUUAAUCCACCCGCUAAGUUGUGCUGCAGAAGGAAAUGAUUGAAAACCGCAGUGGCUUACAACAAAGGGGCACUUCUCACUCACGUGACAUGACCUUUGAGGGUCAGCUUUGAUGUUUCACUCCAGGCUGCAGGCUGGAAGAGCAGACCCCAUAUGGAACAGUGCUGAUUUAGGAAAGAGGGAGAAGAGAGAAGGCAGAAUCACAAUAGCUCUUGAAGGUCAAACAGUAUGAGUCCUACAAUGAGUACGGCCUCAGAAUGCUAUGUGUUCCGAGGGUGACAAAGGAAGCUCAGAUCCUCUGGAUUCCUGGCAAGACCCUCCACCUCGCUCUCCCCCAUGCUGGCCCUCACAGCCUCCUCUUCGCUCUUUGCUUGGAGAAUCUCAGGAUCCAUCUCACCAUUUCCCUUGCAUCACAGAUUGAGUUUCCUGAGCAGGAGAUUUGAACACAGAUGGUUCACUGGGGAGUUCUCUCAGCAUCGCCAGCUGUCGGGGGAAUGGAAGGCAGCAGAAUGGGCCCGGGCAGAGUAGUGGCAGCAGAGGCCCGCAAAGAUCCUGUAAUGCCAGGAAGAGUUCCGAAACUUUGAUGAUUUUUUAGAGUGGCUGUGAGCAAGGUAGGCCAAGGGGCCAGGCAUUUAUCUCUCUCCAUUGACCCGUCAUUGAGGGGACUGAGUGAGCCCAGGAAGCGGUGUGAUGUUGAGUGAGGGAGCUCUCUUCAUCCACGGGCAGUUCAGGGAGGGGCACUCGGCUAAGAGCUGUCAGCACUGCCAUCCCACAGCUGAGACAUGAGUGCUUCAGUCCUGGAAAGGGGCGUGGGGAUCUGGGCAGAGCGCUGCAGCAUUUACCACACCUGUCUACUGCAAGCACCCUCAGAAGUGCAGGACUCAGGGCGCCCAGGUUUCCCCAUCCCCUGGAUUCUCAUCUCCAUUCAGCUCUGCACAUUCUCUUUCCUGUCCCGGUCACCCAGCCCUCCCCAAACCCUGACUCUCCUACUGUGCUCUUUGAAAUUCACAGGCAGUCACCAGCACUCUUGUCUAUAUCUGCAGAUUCUUCUCUCACAAUUCCCUGCCUCUUCAUGCUCUAAGUGAAACCUAGCUCUUCCCCGAGGCCACUUCAUCUUCAGCAGACCUUCAAAGGAUGCUGCUUUCUCACCUACACCCUGUACCCCUUGGACACAGAGGUGAGAUAGGUGUCCUCCCUGUCUCCACAUUGCCACUUCCAGGCUUUGCUCCUUCCUGCCUCCCUAGUACUCCCAGCUCCAAAUCUCCAAUCAAGAGAGUGCCGUUCACCACCUCUCCGUGUUGCAGACCAGUGGGUCACUCCCACUCAUUCCUUGAAGACUUUAGCUCCUGGCACCCUGUAAGUCUUACUAACACAAGUCCUGUCAUCAUUCUUGUGAUAUAAAUGUCCACAUAGAGGUUGCUCUUAAUGCAUCUGCCCCCUGAUUUGUUAUUUCCCCUCCUAGAGUAGUCUUUGGUUCCACUCUAUCUCAUCAAAUUAUCCUCGUUCAUAGUCUUGACCUUGUUACCAAUGAUAACAAUCCAUCCAAGUUCCCGUUAUAAGCACCCCAUGCUCCAGCCAUCAUCUUGUGUCUUUCCAACUCAUUUCCUCAGGGAUUCUAACUCGAAUAAUUGACUCCAUUGGGACCUCAAAUACGACCUUUCCUCUGUCCCUCUCUGCCCAGCUGAGAUGUCUUGGUUCAUCAUGUACACAUUGUCAAUUGCAUUGCUCCCCUUGGUCCUCCUCACCUGGAAAAAGUUCAACUCUUCACCCAUUGCAGUUGGACAGGGCUUGAGAAAACCGUGCUUGUUAAAUGCAUGGACUGUCUUAGUCCAUUUCAGCUGCUAGAACAAAAUACCAGAGACCGGGAAUGUGAAACAUACCCAGAAACAAUAGAAAUUUAUUUCCUCCAGUUCUGGAAGCUGGAAAGUCCAAGAUCAAGGCACCAGCAUGGGCGAGUUCUGGUGAAGGGCCUCUUCCUGGAGCCUUCUGGCUGUGUGCUCCCAUGGUAGAUGAGGAGAGGAAGAUCGGUGGGGUCUCUUUUCUAAGAGUACUAAUCCCAUUCAUGAUGAGUCCAUCCUCGUGACCUAAGCAUCUCCCAAAGGUCUCUGAAUACCAUCACAUUGGGCACUAGGAUUUCAACAUAUGAAUUUUGCGGGGACACAAUAGCAUUGACCUAAAGUGAGGUCAUAGGGCUAUAGGUCAUAGCUAUAGUUACCUAGUCUGUUUUCUUCCUGACUUUCCUGUUUUCUUCCUGACUUUCCCACUUUCUCCUUUCCCUUCAAACACCCAACAUCUUCUCACUCUCAGCUGAUGACUUUGUAUUUUACUGAGGAAAUAGAAGCAAACAUAAGACUCUUUCCACAUGUUCCCUCCUAUCUCCAUCUGUACCCAUAGAGUCUGACUUCCCUCUUGAUCCUACAGAAGAACAGUCUUUAUUUCUAUCUCAAGCCAACACCCCAAACCCGCACUUAUGUGGUAGAUCCUUCUCCUUUUUACAUACUGAAGGACACUGUUCCAGUGUUUGUCUCCUCCCUCUUGUACGUUAUCAAAUUAUUCUUGUCUACUAUAUCAUGCUAUCAGCGAACAGAUAUGCUGCCAUUUCUUCCAUCUUAAAAUGCCUCUCUUGAUCCCAUAUCCUCCUCCAGCAACUACAUUUCUCUGUGUCUCUGGAUAGCAAAACUCAGAAGAGUUGUCUUUACUCAUUAUCUCCUUUCCCUGUCCUUCGCCACACUGCAAUCAGAUUUUCAUCCUCUUCCCCUCACCAAUCCACUAAAAAGGCUGUCACAUUGUAGCUUUGAUGGUCAGUCCUCUGUCCUUAUUGGACUUGACUUCUCAGCAGCAUUGGACAAAGUUGGUCACUUUCUCUGUCUUGAAAUACACUCUUCUCUCAGCCUCCAGAAUACCACAGACUCCGGUUUUCUUUCAACAUUGCUGGCUGGUCCUUCCCAGUCUCCUUUGCUUGCCCCUCCUCAACCUCCACAUUGCUAAAUACUACAGUACUUCAGAGAUUCUCCAGCAGACAUCCUCUCAGCUCUGACUAUGCUCCCUCCUGGGGGAGCUCACCUGGUUCCAAGACUUUAAAUGCCAUAUAGCUCCCAAGCUUAUUUCCACACUCUGAAGCUCUGCUUUGAUAUUCAGACUCACAUAUCUAGUUGCUCACUUGACAUUUCCACUUGGAUGUCUCACGGGCAGCUCAAACUUAAUGUGUCCAUCUCCAGAUUCCCGAUAAUAGCUGUCAUGUGGCUGCUUUGAGAAUCAAGUUAAGCAAUGCAUGUGCUGUAUCUUAGAAUAUCUGUCAUGGUAAACACUCAAGAAAUAGUAACAUUAUUAUAAUUGCAUUGAGCAGGUACUCAGAUAUUUGUUGAAUAAAUGAAUAUUACAGUUAAUUGCUAGGGUAAUAAUAUACUGUCUUAAGUAGUCAGUAAUAAUAAGUAUAUGUUGAUGGUAAAGAGAAUAAGUAACAUAGCUUGUUUUUUAUCCAAUAAAUAUUUGAUGUGUACUAUGUACCAGGACCAGUUAUAGAAUAUAGCAGAAAAGACCAGAUAGAAUCCCUUCUUUCUUGAAGUUUACAUUCUGAGGGGUGGAGGGGGAAGGUGACAAAUAAACAGUAUGUGUAAAUAAACAAAUAUAUACUAUGUCGGAUAUUGAGAGACACAAUGGAGAAAAAUAAAGUGGGGAAGAGAGAUUGAGGGUGCUAGGGAUGUGGUGGGGAGGCUGUUUUUGGUAGCAUGGUGUAUUAGUACAUUAUUGCUGUGUAACAAAUUACUCCUGAACUUAAAGUAACAACAAACAUUUAUUAUCUCGCACAGUUUCUGUGGGUUAGGAAUUUCAGAGCACCUUAGCUGGCUGGUUCUGGCUCAGAACCUCUUAGAAGUGUACAGUCAAGGUGUUGCCUGAGGCCACUGCCAUCUGAGAGCUUGACUAGGCCUGGAGUUGGCUCCCUCACAGGCUGGCAAGCUGGUGUUGGCUGUUGGCAGGAGGCUUUCGUUGCUCGCCAUGUGGACCUAUCCACAGAGCUGCUUGCAUGUCCUCGUGGCAGAGCAGUUUGCUUUCCUCAGAGAAGGUGAUCCAUAAGGGAUCAAAGGG